GACGAACGCUGGCGGCGUGCUUAACACAUGCAAGUCGUACGGUAAGGCCCUUUCGGGGGUACACGAGUGGCGAACGGGUGAGUAACACGUGAGUAACCUGCCCACAACUUUGGGAUAACGCUAGGAAACUUGUGCUAAUACUGGAUAUGUGCUCCUGCUGCAUGGUGGGGGUUGGAAAGCUCCGGCGGUUGUGGAUGGACUCGCGGCCUAUCAGCUUGUUGGUGGGGUAGUGGCCUACCAAGGCGGCGACGGGUAGCCGGCCUGAGAGGGUGACCGGCCACAUUGGGACUGAGAUACGGCCCAGACUCCUACGGGAGGCAGCAGUGGGGAAUAUUGCACAAUGGGCGCAAGCCUGAUGCAGCAACGCCGCGGGCGGGAUGACGGACUUCGGGUUGUAAACCGCUUUCAGCAGGGACGAAGCUUUUUGUGACGGUACCUGCAGAAGAAGCACCGGCUAACUACGUG
rnacentral:rRNA from 1 species